UUAUCAUCAGUAGGACUCAAGCUCUAAUGUUGCACAUUGAUUCUUUUAUUGAGUACAUGCUACAGAGGACUCAAGAUCAAGAUGAAAAUGUGGCUUUAGAAGCCUGUGAAUUUUGGCUAACUUUAGCUGAACAGCCAAUAUGCAAAGAUGUACUCGUAAGGCAUCUUCCUAAGUUGAUUCCUGUGUUAGUGAAUGGCAUGAAGUACUCAGACAUAGAUAUUAUCCUACUUAAGGGUGAUGUUGAAGAAGACGAAACGAUUCCUGAUAGUGAACAGGAUAUACGGCCACGUUUUCACCGAUCGAGGACGGUGGCUCAGCAGCAUGAUGAAGAUGGAAUUGAAGAGGAAGAUGAUGAUGAUGAUGAAAUUGAUGAUGAUGAUACAAUUUCUGACUGGAAUCUAAGAAAAUGUUCUGCUGCUGCCCUGGAUGUUCUUGCAAAUGUGUAUCGUGAUGAACUGCUGCCACAUAUUUUGCCCCUUUUGAAAGAAUUACUUUUUCAUCAUGAAUGGGUUGUUAAAGAAUCAGGCAUUUUGGUUUUAGGAG
rnacentral:sRNA from 1 species